rnacentral:ribozyme from 1 species
UGUCGUCUCUGUCGUUUUUGUCGUCGUUCGCCGCAACGAGAGCGCGUUCCUCGAAACGAGCGUCGUCGUCCUUCUCGUUCUCGUUUUUCUCUUCUUCUUCUUUUUCCUCCUAUUAUUCUGCA